GUAUGCUGGAGGUAUCAGAAGUGCGAAUGCUGACAUAAGUAACGAUAAAGCGGGUGAAAAGCCCGCUCGCCGGAAGACCAAGGGUUCCUGUCCAACGUUAAUCGGGGCAGGGUGAGUCGACCCCUAAGGCGAGGCCGAAAGGCGUAGUCGAUGGGAAACAGGUUAAUAUUCCUGUACUUGGUGUUACUGCGAAGGGGGGACGGAGAAGGCUAUGUUGGCCGGGCGACGGUUGUCCCGGUUUAAGCGUGUAGGCUGGUUUUCCAGGCAAAUCCGGAAAAUCAAGGCUGAGGCGUGAUGACGAGGCACUACGGUGCUGAAGCAACAAAUGCCCUGCUUCCAGGAAAAGCCUCUAAGCAUCAGGUAACAUCAAAUCGUACCCCAAACCGACACAGGUGGUCAGGUAGAGAAUACCAAGGCGCUUGAGAGAACUCGGGUGAAGGAACUAGGCAAAAUGGUGCCGUAACUUCGGGAGAAGGCACGCUGAUAUGUAGGUGAAGCGACUUGCUCGUGGAGCUGAAAUCAGUCGAAGAUACCAGCUGGCUGCAACUGUUUAUUAAAAACACAGCACUGUGCAAACACGAAAGUGGACGUAUACGGUGUGACGCCUGCCCGGUGCCGGAAGGUUAAUUGAUGGGGUUAGCGGUAACGCGAAGCUCUUGAUCGAAGCCCCGGUAAACGGCGGCCGUAACUAUAACGGUCCUAAGGUAGCGAAAUUCCUUGUCGGGUAAGUUCCGACCUGCACGAAUGGCGUAAUGAUGGCCAGGCUGUCUCCACCCGAGACUCAGUGAAAUUGAACUCGCUGUGAAGAUGCAGUGUACCCGCGGCAAGACGGAAAGACCCCGUGAACCUUUACUAUAGCUUGACACUGAACAUUGAGCCUUGAUGUGUAGGAUAGGUGGGAGGCUUUGAAGUGUGGACGCCAGUCUGCAUGGAGCCGGCCUUGAAAUACCACCCUUUAAUGUUUGAUGUUCUAACGUUGGCCCCUGAUCGGGGUUGCGGACAGUGUCUGGUGGGUAGUUUGACUGGGGCGGUCUCCUCCUAAAGAGUAACGGAGGAGCACGAAGGUUGGCUAAUCCUGGUCGGACAUCAGGAGGUUAGUGCAAUGGCAUAAGCCAGCUUGACUGCGAGCGUGACGGCGCGAGCAGGUGCGAAAGCAGGUCAUAGUGAUCCGGUGGUUCUGAAUGGAAGGGCCAUCGCUCAACGGAUAAAAGGUACUCCGGGGAUAACAGGCUGAUACCGCCCAAGAGUUCAUAUCGACGGCGGUGUUUGGCACCUCGAUGUCGGCUCAUCACAUCCUGGGGCUGAAGUAGGUCCCAAGGGUAUGGCUGUUCGCCAUUUAAAGUGGUACGCGAGCUGGGUUUAGAACGUCGUGAGACAGUUCGGUCCCUAUCUGCCGUGGGCGCUGGAGAACUGAGGGGGGCUGCUCCUAGUACGAGAGGACCGGAGUGGACGCAUCACUGGUGUUCGGGUUGUCAUGCCAAUGGCACUGCCCGGUAGCUAAAUGCGGAAGAGAUAAGUGCUGAAAGCAUCUAAGCACGAAACUUGCCCCGAGAUGAGUUCUCCCUGAGACUUAGAGUCUCCUGAAGGAACGUUGAAGACGACGACGUUGAUAGGCCGGGUGUGUAAGCGCAGCGAUGCGUUGAGCUAACCGGUACUAAUGAACCGUGAGGCUUAACCUUACAACGCCGAAG
rnacentral:rRNA from 1 species